rnacentral:rRNA from 1 species
AUUGAACGCUAGCGGGAUGCCUUACACAUGCAAGUCGAACGGAGUGGCGAACGGGUGAGUAAUGUAUCGGAACGUGCCCAGUAGCGGGGGAUAACUACGCGAAAGCGUAGCUAAUACCGCAUAAUAUUGGAACGGCCGAUAUCGGAUUAGCUAGUUGGUGGGUUAACGGCUCACCAAGGCUGCGAUCCGUAGCUGGGUUGAGAGGACGACCAGCCACACAGGGACUGAGAAAAGGCCCAGACUCCUACGAGAGGCAUCAGUGGGGAAUGUUGGAAAAUGGGGGAGACCCUGAUCCAGCCAUCCCGCGUGGGCGAUGAAGGCCUUCGGGUUGUAAAGCACGUUUGGCAGGAAAGCGGUACCUGCAGAAUAAGCACCGGCUAACUACGUGCCAGCAGCCGCGGUAAUUC